rnacentral:rRNA from 1 species
AAUGGGCGCAAGCCUGAUGCAGCAACGCCGCGUGGGGGAUGACGGCCUUCGGGUUGUAAACCUCUUUUAGUAGGGAAGAAGCGAGAGUGACGGUACCUGCAGAAAAAGCACCGGCUAACUACGUGCCAGCAGCCGCGGUAAUACGUAGGGUGCAAGCGUUGUCCGGAAUUAUUGGGCGUAAAGAGCUCGUAGGCGGUNUGUCGCGUCUGCUGUGAAAUCCUGAGGCUCAACCUUGGGCGUGCAGUGGGUACGGGCAGACUAGAGUGCGGUAGGGGUGAUUGGAAUUCCUGGUGUAGCGGUGGAAUGCGCAGAUAUCAGGAGGAACACCGAUGGCGAAGGCAGGUCACUGGGCCGUUACUGACGCUGAGGAGCGAAAGCAUGGGGAGCGAA